GACGAAGGAUGGCAAGCGUUAUCCGGAUUCAUUGGGUUUAAAGGGAGCGUAGGUGGCCUUAUAAGUCAGUGGUGAAAUCUUCGAGCUUAACUCGGAAAUUGCCAUUGAUACUGUAGGGCUUGAGUACAGUUGCUGUGGGCGGAAUAUGACAUGUAGUGGUGAAAUACAUAGAGAUGUCAUAGAACACCGAUUGCGAAGGCAGCUCACAAAACUGUAACUGACACUGAGGCUCGAAAGUGCGGGGAUCAAACAGG
rnacentral:rRNA from 1 species